rnacentral:rRNA from 1 species
CCUACGGGAGGCAGCAGUAGGGAAUAUUGCUCAAUGGGGGAAACCCUGAAGCAACAACGCCGCGUGGAGGAUGAAGGUUCUCGGAUUGUAAACUCCUUUUGUUAGAGAAGAUAAUGACGGUAUCUAACGAAUAAGCACCGGCUAACUCCGUGCCAGCAGCCGCGGUAAUACGGAGGGUGCAAGCGUUACUCGGAAUCACUGGGCGUAAAGCGCGCGUAGGCGGGAUAGCAAGUCAGAUGUGAAAUCCUAUGGCUUAACCAUAGAACUGCAUUUGAGACUGUUAUUCUAGAGUAUGGGAGAGGUAGGUGGAAUGCUUGGUGUAGGGGUAAAAUCCGUAGAGAUCAAGAAGAAUACUCAUUGCGAAGGCGACCUGCUAGAACAUAACUGACGCUGAUGCGCGAAAGCGUGGGGAGCAAACAGGAUUAGAUACCCUAGUAGUC